rnacentral:rRNA from 1 species
AACGAACGCUGGCGGCGUGCCUAACACAUGCAAGUCGAGCGCGAAUGGGGUAACCCUAGUAGAGCGGCGCACGGGUGCGUAACACGUGGAUAAUCUGCCUGGAUGUCUGGGAUAACCAGUCGAAAGAUUGGCUAAUACCGGAUAAGCCCACGGUCUCUUCGGAGGCUGAGGGAAAAGGUGGCCUCUGUAUACAAGCUAUCACAACCAGAUGAGUCCGCGGCCCAUCAGCUAGUUGGCGGGGUAAUGGCCCACCAAGGCAACGACGGGUAGCUGGUCUGAGAGGACGAUCAGCCACACUGGAACUGAGACACGGUCCAGACUCCUACGGGAGGCAGCAGUGGGGAAUUUUGCGCAAUGGGCGAAAGCCUGACGCAGCAACGCCGCGUGUGUGAUGAAGGUCUUUGGAUUGUAAAGCACUUUCGACCGGGACGAAAACCCGAAGCCCAAUACGCUUCGGCUUGACGGUACCGGGAGAAGAAGCACCGGCUAACUCUGUG